AACCCGACAGAAUCUUCAUCCGCGUGUCCAUUCUGACAGGAUGUACAGUAGUAUAUGACCUGGGGUUAUUUCCACUGUCAUUUUAUAGAAGGUAAAAUACGCUGGAAUCUUCCCAGACCGGAGAAUGUGCAAGUCUGGAAAAGUUACCGACGUGACAGCUUUCCGGUUAGUGAUGACUAAUAAAAAAAAAAAAUCCACUCAGUCUGAACAGUGUUUAAGUUCAAGCCGGGGGGCUCUAAUUAAACGCUGACACUUGGAACGACAGGAGGAGCACAACGUGGACUUCGUACAGCAUGGUUCUUUAGGACUUCGGACGGCUCCAAGUCGUUGACCUGCAGGAGUGAACUGUAGUGACGACUCGCACGCACGCGCACGCAGCUGUGGACAGCGGACAAACAUCAAACCCUGACGGUUUACCAGGCUUCACCGAUCCCGUACCGUGCUCGUCGUCGGUGUGAGCGACGUGGAUCGCGCGCUCGUCCAGGCUGAAGUAGAGGAAAUGGAGGCCUCGGCGUCGGUGUAAAGGGGAUUCCAUCGACCCCUUCGACUCUCAAGACUCAUCCCUGGAUCCUGACUUGCCUUCUUCACUCCCGACGAAUAGUCUGGGUUUGAGGGCUUAAAUAAAUGAUUCUUUUUAUUGAAUUAACAUUUGAAAAGAGGAGCGGUUGAUCACGUUUGUCCACUCAAGAAAGGAUUUUUAAUUUCAAAGUUGCUCUGAUGUCCACUUUGUCCUCUUACGCUCGGCGUGAUGACCUCAACAAUAUUAGACGUUAAGUCCUAUGAGAUCACGUCACCGGCCCCCCACAUGCUCCAAAUUCACCCUAACGGAAAUUUGAAGAAUAUAUUGGCGAAUAUAUUCACCGCUUAUCAAAUCUAGGCAAACAAUAUGAUUGAAAAGUAAACUAUACAUUUAAAAUAAUAAUAAUAAUAAUAAUAAUAAUAAUAAUACUAAUAAUAAUAAUUUAAAGAAUGUCCUUGUUGGUGUUAAUCUGACAUUGAUCCUGUCCUCUAGGUCCUCUUCUGUUUCAGUUAACUGGUGCCUUCUUUAAAAAAAAAUUAUAUUUAUUUAUUUAUUUUAAAUCAUACCACUGUUCUACCGCUCUUCUUUCUGAAUCUUUCUCUCUUUCUUAUCUCCUCCAUACAUCCUCCCACCUGCCUCCCUCUAUCUCCCUCCCGUCGCUCUUCCUGCCUUUCCGCGCGUGCUGAUUGUCGCGCUUUUCAUUCUUCGUCCUCUGUAUUGGCUUUUGUUUUGGGAACAAAGGGCGCGUAAUGUCCUCAUCUUUUCCAUCUGUCACUCAGUCGGGGGGAAUGACUGAGAGGCGGAAGAUGACGAGAGACAGGGAGAGAGUGAGGAGGAAGGAUGCGGCCGUUUGAUUUCGGGAGCACUGCUUCAUUUCCCCUCAGCUCUCUGUGCGACUGCUCCGUAGACACAGACACGGCGAGGGAUCGGAGCUCCGGCGAGCUUCCUCCUGGAAAUUUACCACAGUGCUGCUGUGCUUCCAAAAAGGUUACAAAUAUUUCAUAGAUGGAUGGAUGGAUGGAUGGACAGUGGGAUGGAUGGAUGGAAGGACAGAUAGAUAGAUUGAUAGAUAGAUGUAUGGAUAGACAGUGGGAUGGAUGGAAGGAUAGAUAGACAGAGACAAAUAGAUAGAUAGAUAGUGGGAUGGAUGGAUAGAUAGAUAGUGGGAUGGAUGGAUAGAUAGUGGGAUGGAUGGAUGGAAGGGUAGAUAGAGGGAUGGAUGGAUGGAAGGAUAGAUAGAGGGAUGGAUGGAUGGAAGGAUAGAUAGAUAGAUAGAUAGAUAGAUAGUGGGAUGAUGGAAGGAUAGAUAGAUAGAUAGUGGGAUGGAUGGAAGGAUAGAUAGAUAGUGGGAUGUAUAGAUAGAUAGAUAGAUAGAGAUAGAUAGAUGGAUGGAUGGAAGGAUAGAUAGAUAGAUAGAUAGUGGGAUGGAUGGAUGGAAGGAUAGAUAGAUAGUGGGAUGUAUAGAUAGAUAGAUAGAUAGAGAUAGAUAGAUGGAUGGAUGGAAGGAUAGAUAGAUAGAUAGAUAGUGGGAUGGAUGGAUAGAUAGAUAGAGGGAUGGAUGGAUGGAUAGAUAGAUAGAUAGAUAGAUGGAUAGAUAGAUAGUGGGAUGGAUGGAAGGAUAGAUAGAUAGUGGGAUGGAUGGAUGGAAGGAUAGACAGAUAGAUGGAUAGUGGGAUGGAUGGAUGGAAGGAUAGAUAGAUGGAUAGAUAGAUGGAUAGUGGGAUGGAUGGAUGGAAGGAUAGAUAGAUGGAUAGAUAGAUGGAUAGAUAGAUAGAUGGAUGGAAGGAUGGAUAGAUAGAGGGAUGGAAGGAUAGAUAGAUAGAUAGAUGGAUGGAAGGAUGGAUAGAUAGAGGGAUGGAAGGAUAGAUAGAUAGAUAGAUGGAUGGAAGGAUAGAUAGAUAGAUAGAGGGAUGGAUGGAAGGAUAGAUAGAUAGAUGGAUGGAAGGAUAGAUAGAUAUGGAUAGUGGGAUGGAUGGAUGGAAGGAUAGAUAGAUGGAUGGAAGGAUAGAUGGAAGGAUGGAUGGAAGGAUAGACAGAUAGAUAGAUGGAUAGUGGGAUGGAUGGAUGGAUAGUGGGAUGGAUGGAUGGAAGGAUAGAUGGAUAGAAGGAUAGAUGGAUAGUGGGAUGGAUGGAUGGAAGGAUAGAUGGAUAGAUGGAUAGUGGGGAUGGAUGGAUGGAAGGAUAGAUAGAUAGAUGGAUAGUGGGAUGGAUGGAUGGAAGGAUAGAUGGAUAGUGGGAUGGAUGGAUGGAAGGAUAGAUAGAUGGAUGGAAAGGAUAGAUAGUUAGAUAGAUAGAUAGAGGGAUGGAAGGAUAGAUGGAUAGUGGGAUGGAUGGAUGGAAGGAUAGUGGGAUGGAUGGAUGGAAGGAUAGUGGGAUGGAUGGAUGGAAGGAUAGAUGGAUAGAUGGAUUAAUGGAUAGUGGGAUGGAUGGAUGGAAGGAUAGAUGGAUAGUGGGAUGGAUGGAUGGAAGGAUAGAUGGAUAGUGGGAUGGAUGGAUGGAAGGAUAGAUAGAUAGAUGGAUGGAAGGAUAGAUAGUUAGAUAGAUAGAUAGAGGGAUGGAAGGAUAGGUGGAUAGUGGGAUGGAUGGAUGGAAGGAUAGAUAGAUGGAUAGUGGGAUGGAUGGAUGGAAAGAUAGAUAGAUAGAUAGAUAGAUAGAUAGAUUGGAUGGAAGGAUAGAUGGAUAGUGGGAUGGAUGGAUGGAAGGAUAGAUGGUAGAUAGCAUUUAGUCCUGAGUGUCUGGUGAAGAGCUAGUGAGUGUUAAUAAGUGGAAUAAGACACACUGAUGGGGUGGUGGAACAGUGACACCACUGAACCUUUCCUCCGAGUUGAACUCUAUCUGACUGAUUCCUGGCUGUAAAUGGCAUC
ensembl:lncRNA